AAGUCUACUCCGCCAUUCAAUCUCGGCUGAUCUGUCUGUCCCUCCUAUCUCCAUUCCCCUCAGAAUAUGAUUUAU